rnacentral:rRNA from 1 species
UCGCCCUUAUGUUCUGGGCUACACACGUGCUACAAUGGCCGGUACAGACGGACGCAAGGCCGCGAGGUGGAGCAAAUCCUAAAAAGCCGGUCUCAGUUCGGAUUGCAGGCUGCAAUUCGCCUGCAUGAAGUCGGAAUCGCUAGUAAUCGCAGGUCAGCAUACUGCGGUGAAUACGUUCCCGGGCCUUU